rnacentral:rRNA from 1 species
GUGGGGAAUAUUCCGCAAUGGACGAAAGUCUGACGGAGCAACGCCGCGUGAGUGAUGAAGGUUUUCGGACUGUAAAGCUCUGUUGUUUGGGACGAAAGUGCCUGUUGCGAACAGUUACGGGUAUUGACGGUACUAAACGAGGAAGCCACGGCUAACUACGUGCCAGCAGCCGCGGUAAUACGUAGGUGGCAAGCGUUGUCCGGAAUUAUUGGGCGUAAAGAGCAUGUAGGCGGGAAUCUAAGUCUGUUGUUAAAAUGCGGGGCUCAACCCCGUAUUGCGAUGGAAACUGGGUUUCUUGAGUGCAGGAGAGGAAAGGGGAAUUCCCAGUGUAGCGGUGAAAUGCGUAGAUAUUGGGAGGAACACCAGUGGCGAAGGCGCCUUUCUGGACUGUGUCUGACGCUGAGAUGCGAAAGCCAGGGUAGCGAACGGGAUUAGAAACCCGUGUAGUCC